UACGUAGGGGGGCAAGCGUUGUCCGGAAUCAUUGGGCGUAAAGAGCGUGUAGGCGGCCCGAUAAGUCCGCUGUGAAAGUCCAGGGCUCAACCCUGGGAUGCCGGUGGAUACUGUCGGGCUCGAGUCCGGAAGAGGAGUGUGGAAUUCCUGGUGUAGCGGUGAAAUGCGCAGAUAUCAGGAGGAACACCGAUGGCGAAGGCAGCUCGCUGGGACGGUACUGACGCUGAGGCGCGAAAGCGUGGGGAGCGAACAGG
rnacentral:rRNA from 1 species